UACGGAGGGUGCGAGCGUUAAUCGGAAUUACUGGGCGUAAAGCGCACGCAGGCGGUUUGUUAAGCUAGAUGUGAAAGCCCCGGGCUCAACCUGGGAUGGUCAUUUAGAGCUGGCAGACUAGAGUCUUGGAGAGGGGAGUGGAAUUCCAGGUGUAGCGGUGAAAUGCGUAGAUAUCUGGAGGAACAUCAGUGGCGAAGGCGACUCCCUGGCCAAAGACUGACGCUCAUGUGCGAAAGUGUGGGUAGCGAACAGG
rnacentral:rRNA from 1 species